rnacentral:rRNA from 1 species
AGAGUUUGAUCAUGGCUCAGAUUGAACGCUGGCGGCAGGCCUAACACAUGCAAGUCGAGCGGUAGCACAGGAGAGCUUGCUCUCUGGGUGACGAGCGGCGGACGGGUGAGUAAUGUCUGGGAAACUGCCUGAUGGAGGGGGAUAACUACUGGAAACGGUAGCUAAUACCGCAUAACGUCUUCGGACCAAAGUGGGGGACCUUCGGGCCUCACGCCAUCAGAUGUGCCCAGAUGGGAUUAGCUAGUAGGUGGGGUAAUGGCUCACCUAGACGACGAUCCCUAGCUGGUCUGAGAGGAUGACCAGCCACACUGGAACUGAGACACGGUCCAGACUCCUACGGGAGGCAGCAGUGGGGAAUAUUGCACAAUGGGCGCAAGCCUGAUGCAGCCAUGCCGCGUGUGUGAAGAAGGCCUUCGGGUUGUAAAGCACUUUCAGCGAGGAGGAAGGGUAGUGUGUUAAUAGCACAUUGCAUUGACGUUACUCGCAGAAGAAGCACCGGCUAACUCCGUGCCAGCAGCCGCGGUAAUACGGAGGGUGCAAGCGUUAAUCGGAAUUACUGGGCGUAAAGCGCACGCAGGCGGUUUGUUAAGUCAGAUGUGAAAUCCCCGCGCUUAACGUGGGAACUGCAUUUGAAACUGACAAGCUAGAGUCUUGUAGAGGGGGGUAGAAUUCCAGGUGUAGCGGUGAAAUGCGUAGAGAUCUGGAGGAAUACCGGUGGCGAAGGCGGCCCCCUGGACAAAGACUGACGCUCAGGUGCGAAAGCGUGGGGAGCAAACAGGAUUAGAUACCCCGGUAGUCCAA